ensembl:lncRNA
GUAAGCCCUAAGGCUCCUCCCUCCAGAGCCAGACGGACAGGUGGGGGAUAGAUUGUGUUCCGCCUCAUUUGCCUUGCCCUCACGCAGCUAGGCAAGGACACACACACGGAGGUUAUAGUCACACACGGAGGUUAUAGUCACACACGGAGGUUAUAGUCACACACGGAGGUUAUAGUCACACAGAGGUUAUAGUCACGCACGGAGGUUAUAGUCACGCACGGAGGUUAUAGUCACACACGGAGGUUAUAGUCACACACGGAGCUUGUAACUGUGUUCACAAAGGCCUAGUUGGCGUGUGUGUGAACCGUUUGAGGCUGUGAACACAUGUUAACCGACGGCGUGAUCAGUGCAAUGUCACCAACGCCAACCCUCCCCCAACACACACACAUCUGCCCUUUCAAGGUUAAAUCCUGCAUCAGAUUACUUAUUAUGGGGUUUAAUUUUUCAUGCUAGUGUCAUAGGUACAGCUCACUCGACAAAGCAGG